rnacentral:rRNA from 1 species
UACGGAGGGUGCAAGCGUUAAUCGGAAUCACUGGGCGUAAAGCGCACGUAGGCGGCUGAGUCAGUCGAUUGUGAAAGCCCUGGGCUUAACCUGGGAAUUGCAGUCGAUACUACUCAGCUAGAGUAUGGGAGAGGGUAGUGGAAUUCCCGGUGUAGCGGUGAAAUGCGCAGAUAUCAGGAGGAACACCGGUGGCGAAGGCGGGUCUCUGGGCCGUAACUGACGCUGAGGAACGAAAGCAUGGGGAGCGAACAGG